rnacentral:rRNA from 1 species
GACGAACGCGGCGGCGUGCUUAACACAUGCAAGUCGAACGCUGAUGGCCCAGCUUGCUGGGUUGGAUGAGUGGCGAACGGGUGAGUAACACGUGAGUAACCUGCCCUCUUCUUUGGGAUAACGGUCGGAAACGGCUGCUAAUACCGGGUAUUCACUGUCCUUCGCAUGGGGGGUGGUGGAAAGGUUUUUUCUGGUGGGGGAUGGGCUCGCGGCCUAUCAGCUUGUUGGUGGGGUGAUGGCUUACCAAGGCUUUGACGGGUAACCGGCCUGAGAGGGUGACCGGUCACAUUGGGACUGAGAUACGGCCCAGACUCCUACGGGAGGCAGCAGUGGGGAAUAUUGCACAAUGGGCGAAAGCCUGAUGCAGCGACGCCGCGUGAGGGAUGGAGGCCUUCGGGUUGUAAACCUCUUUCGCUCAUGGUCAAGCCGCAACAGUGGUUGUGGUGAGGGUAGUGGGUAAAGAAGCACCGGCUAACUACGUGCCAGCAGCCGCGGUAAUACGUAGGGUGCGAGCGUUGUCCGGAAUUAUUGGGCGUAAAGGGCUUGUAGGCGGUUUGUCGCGUCUGCCGUGAAAUCCUCUGGCUUAACUGGGGGCGUGCGGUGGGUACGGGCAGGCUUGAGUGCGGUAGGGGAGACUGGAACUCCUGGUGUAGCGGUGGAAUGCGCAGAUAUCAGGAAGAACACCGGUGGCGAAGGCGGGUCUCUGGGCCGUUACUGACGCUGAGGAGCGAAAGCGUGGGGAGCGAACAGG